UUGUCUCUCUCCCGUGAUCCUUCUCCUUCUUCCACGUCGCUCUUUCAUCUCCAAACUCAAGCGGCGAUCUUCGGUUCCAAGCACAAUUUAAAGGAAACCAAGUUGAGAAUUCCUCCACCUUCUGUUUUUCAGGAAUGGCAACUGACGAGAAUUAUCAAUAAUAACUGGUGGUGUAUCAGCUGGUAAAUCCUGCAAUAACCUCUUCGAGAUCUUGUAACUCAACACAACAUCAAAUACCUUGUUAUCCAGUCUGUAAUCCUCAUAUACCAUUCCAAUGCAAUCAUCAAAACUGUUUUGAUCA